GUAUAUACAUCCGCGGCUGAACACAUCGAGACCCCUCCCCUUGGCGAUUGUCUUCUUCACCGAAGAGACCACCAAACGACCCCACCCCUCCAAAACUUCACCUUCUUCUUCAUUCCAACAAUACAAGAUCGGAUGGAUGGCUAACAAAGAGACAUAGCAGCCAUCGCCGGGAACUUCGUUUAGCCAGCCGCCGUCGUGGACCUCGCCUAAAAAAAAGAGAGAGAGAGAGAGAGAGAGCUUCUGGAUAGAAUUUGAGAGGAGAUCUUAAGAAAAAAGAAAGGAAGAACUAGGGUUUUGGUUUGGAUUUCUAUUUUUCCUCCUCCUUUGAUUUUGGUUCCAACUUUUGAUACAUAAAAAAUUGAGAAAAUCAUAUUCUUCUGGCCUAAUUUUACUUAAAACAAAAAAUACAAAAAUACAUCUAAUUUCUUCCUCUAAAGUUCUAUUACGAAGCCAUAGAGUUGGCUUGAGUUUGAAUUCGGUUCAAAAUCGUCGUCGUUGGUUCGUCGUCGUUCGUGGUUCCGAUUCGGGUUCGUGGGCUCUGUUCGAUCACGUUUUGCUUUCUCGUUUGGAUUUGGAGCCAAGCUUGUAUUUGCUGAUUGCUUCUGUUAUUAUUGAAAGAUUUUGCUCAACAGAUGACGAGGACACACGCUACCGGUCAGGACAGACAGCCACCGAUACCACUAGUAGGGUCCGCGAGAGGCCGAAGUCGCGAUCGAGGCCGUGGUAGGGUAGGAGUGUAGCCCGCACAACAGCUAGGGCGGCACCUGCAGAUCCACCAAUUGCCUUAGUACAUGAUCAGGUCCCAGUUGUGGAUGCCCCAGCGGGACCAGCCCAUGCACCGACUGUGCCUAUUGUUAUCCAAGUCUUCAGGAGACCUUAGCUCAGAUUCUGACAGUGUGCACCAGUCUUGUUCAGGCGGUCUCUGUUACUACUACAGUAGCUACUUCCCAGGCCUAAGAAGGCACUCAAACUCCCACCGCUCGUACACUCGAGCAAGUUGUUCAGGGACAUCAAACAUAGGGGGCACCACCUGCCCAACUGGUUACACCUGCUCAAGACUAUGUAGUUCCAGUCAUGCCUGAUGAUGAGUAGCAAAUAUUUGAGAGGUUUGGUAGACUUCAGCCUCUGACUUUUAGUGGUACAGAGGGUGAGGAUGCCCAGGGUUUCUUGGGCAAGUAUUAGAGGAUUCUCCGUAUAGCGGGUAUUCUGGAGACUAGUGGGGUCUUAUUCACUACCUUUCAGUUCUCUGGAGCUGCCUUUACUUGGUGGGAGGCUUAUGAGAGGAGUAUGCUUGUUGGUGCAGCGCCCAUUACCUGGCAGCAGUUCUUCGUUCUCUUUUUGUAAAAGUAUGUGUCGCAAUCUCGUAGAGAAGAGCUGCACAGACAGUUUAAGUAGAUGCACCAUGACUAUAUUACUAUGACGCAGUACGAGAUGAGAUUUUCUGAGUUGUCCCAUCAUGCUAUUUGGUUUGUUCCCAUAGAUAGGGUGAGGAUCAGGAGGUUCGUUGAUGGCCUCACAUAUCAGCUGCAGAUUCAUAGGACUAGAGAGAGGGUGUCUGGUGCUUCUUUUGAGGAAGUUGUUGUCAUUGCUCGGGACAUAGAGUCGAUUCACUGCAGGAGCGAGUGGAGAGGGAGGCCAAGAGGCCUCGUGGAUCCGGUAGUUUUGGUGGUGCUCCUCAUGGGGUUCAGUUUCAGCACGGUAGAGGUCGUCCAUUCAGACAUGCUCUGUCUGCUCAACCAGUUCACCGUGGUGCAUCAUCGGGCCAUGGUUCUCACAAUUCUCAUUAGGGCCAUUCAUCACUUAGAACCCUCCCAGCCUAGAGUUCGUCAUGUGCUCCAUCAGUUCACGACUCUUCCAUUCCAGGAUCUUCUACCAGUUACCCCGGUACGAGGGGUUCCCUCUAGUUCCCGUUACCAGCACUAGGGGGUUGUUUUUAGUGUGGGGACUUUGGGCAUAUGUGGAGGCAGUGUCCUCGUUGUCAUAGGGGUCCGCCUCAGCAGAGGAGUCAGUCAUCGACUUCAGCAGCAGUUACUUCCCCACCCGCCCAGCCAGCUCGGGGUGGAGGUUAGUAAGCUAGGUGUCGCCCUAGAGGGGGAGGCCGAUCGGGUAGCGGUCAUGCCAGUUUCUAUGCACUACUUGCCAGAACAGAUGCUAUUACUUCAGAUGUUGUGGUCAUAGGUAUUAUCUCAGUUUGCCACAGGGAUACCUCUGUAUUAUUUGAUCAUGGUUCAACUUUUUCAUAUGUGUCAUCAUAUAUUACUCAUUAUGUCAGGACCCAAACCAAUGGACUGUGACGGGCACCAAGUACCUUACUCAACUGAGUACUAAUGUAACGUAUCUUUCUUA